GAUGAACGCUGGCGGCGUGCCUAAUACAUGCAAGUCGAGCGAACAGACGAGGAGCUUGCUCCUCUGACGUUAGCGGCGGACGGGUGAGUAACACGUGGAUAACCUACCUAUAAGACUGGGAUAACUUCGGGAAACCGGAGCUAAUACCGGAUAAUAUAUUGUACCGCAUGGUUCAAUAGUGAAAGACGGUUUUGCUGUCACUUAUAGAUGGAUCCGCGCCGCAUUAGCUAGUUGGUAAGGUAACGGCUUACCAAGGCAACGAUGCGUAGCCGACCUGAGAGGGUGAUCGGCCACACUGGAACUGAGACACGGUCCAGACUCCUACGGGAGGCAGCAGUAGGGAAUCUUCCGCAAUGGGCGAAAGCUUGACGGAGCAACGCCGCGUGAGUGAUGAAGGUCUUCGGAUCGUAAAACUCUGUUAUUAGGGAAGAACAAAUGUGUAAGUAACUAUGCACGUCUUGACGGUACCUAAUCAGAAAGCCACGGCUAACUACGUG
rnacentral:rRNA from 1 species